UAUUUUAACAAGGGGACUGCAGAUCUUGGUGUUCUGUGAGUAAUCCAGUCCAGAGAUUCCAGUCAGCCCUGGUGCGGCAGAACCUCAGCCUAAACAACAGUUGAUGUCUCAUCCCAGCUCAGAAACCAGUCUCAGCCGGCUCAAACCGGCUUUGGCUGGAUGGAUUGGCAAACGUGUCUGAGCUCUCUUUUUUUUUCUUCCAUGAAUUUCGAUUGCCCCACCCAUACAGAAGCAGCACAGAGAAAAAGCUCAUUUCUAUUUUUAUGUUGGGAUUCAGUGCUGCCCUAGAAUUAUUUCUACUACACCCUGUAGCAGGAAGGGAUGCCAAAUUAUUUUCAGUUCCCCAACCCCAAUUAUAUUUUUGUAACAUAGAAAAAUUGCCUAUUUUUUCCCUCCAAAAAUCUAUGCAAAAGGAAGGUAUGGGUGUGCUUUCCUUUUCAUAGUGCCCAACCAUUUUGAGAAUAUGUUCUACUGAUGAGAGGAGACUGACCUGUUUGCUGGACCUUUUCUUAAAUACAGGCAGUGCUAUUGUACCAGGGCUACCUUAGUUGUCUUAUUAGGAAGAAAUGAAACUUUAUAUCCCGUAUAUUACAGACACUCAUUGUGGACAAUACUACCUUACCUAUUUCUCAACUUCCACUUCACCUUGGUAAUGAGAGAUUUACUAAACGUUUUGGAAAGAUUUCCCUAUGUACUGUGAUGAUCAUGUUGUCCAGAAAAAUCAGAUGUUGCCUGUCUUUUACCUGUAAACAGGGAAAUACCCUAAUAAGGCGGACUACAGCAUCUGCUUUUCUCCCUGAUGACAGCAAAAGAAGCCUAUCCAAGGACACCUCAUUCCUAGUUCAGUAAAAUAAGCAUCUCUUGCUGUAGCUAGCACAUUACUCUUGUUACUACCCAAGCUGCGACUGACAUGUCCUCACAAGCUAAAAGGAGGUCAAUCAUCUUCCAAUUAAGUCUGUCAAGGUUUCGACUGACAAACUCAACCGAGCAAGCACAAUCAAGAAGGUCCAAUUUCUUUAGGCAAAGCUUUAUUGAGUACAUCAUUUUGGCACAAUUAAGGCAAAACCAGCCCUGGCUAUUUCCCACACAAUCCUGUAUAAUUAAAGUAUAGUAAUUCUCCUUCCCCAUCUUGGUGUAGGUCACAUUGUCCAAUUAAAUGCAAUAGAAUUGUUAUGAGAAAAUACUGAGGAUCUUAGCCAUGGGCUGAAGUAUCCUUUAUUCCCACUCUCCUUAUGUCUGGAACCUACAUUUAAUUUCCCCCCUCCCCUCCCCCUUAGUUUAUUGGCAAGCUGAGAGGUGAUAAUAGUUGCAACAGUGUAGCUUGACAAAAUCAUGCAUAGUCAUGCAUUGAAGCUUGACAAAGUCAUGCAUAGUUCUGCAGGGUGAGCAACAAUAUGGAACAAGCCCUGUUGGUCACAAGAGCAAUUCUGUCUUUUUUCAUGCUUCUCUCAUAAAUAAUUUAAAAAGUGCUUCCUCCUUGAUUUCUACACCAAACUGCCUGCUAAACUGCUCUCCCUAUUAACUUGAUCAGUAAUCAGAUAGAUGAUUAGAAGACUAGAAGUAAAUGCUGAAAACCAGACAGUCUUGGCGGCAUCAUAUUUGAAAUUAUUGAAAGUAGAUCAGAAGUCAUACAGUUGGAACUAAUCAAACGUGAUGUCUCCCUCAAUUGCUGAUUCAAACAAAGAGAAGCCAUCCAAGAAGAACUAUAAGGAGCAUCAGGGGAACAUUGAAGGAUCUGUGGCAGAGUCAAAACAAGGAACAAUGGAAGUGGAUGGUGGCUCCCUCUCUCUGGAACAUCAUUCCCUCAGAGAUUAGAAUGGCCCCCAUUCUAAUACUCUUCCGGAAGGUGCUGAAGAUCUGAUUCUGCCAGUGGGCCUGGGGAACCCAGAGCGGGAUGGAGCCCAUUAAAUGGCUUGUGUGAUCUGCUGUUGCCGGGAUGGGGGGUGGGAGAUGGGGAGUGAUUUUGUUAUAUUGUACUAUAUUAAUUUAUUUGAUUCUUUUUGUUAGUUUUUAUUGUUUUAAAUGUUGUUUUAUAUUCUGUAAGCUGCCUUGUGUCGCCAUGAGCGAAUAGGCGGCAAUAUAAAUUCAAUAAAUAAAUAAAAAAAAUAGCAGAU